rnacentral:rRNA from 1 species
AACGAACACUGGCGGCGUGCCUUAAGCAUGCAAGUCGAGCGGUGCCAGAGAUUAUCUGGUAUAGCGGCGCACGGGUGAGUAACGCGUGUUAGCCGACCCGAAGACGGGAAUAGCCUCAAGAAAUUGGGGGUAAUGCCCGGUAAUCCCUAAGGGGGAAAGCAGCAAUGCGCUUUGGGAGGUGACUGCGUCCCAUCAGGUAGUUGGGGGGUAACGGCCCACCAAGCCAAUGACGGGUAGCCGGCCUGAGAGGGUGUACGGCCACACUGGAACUGAGACACGGUCCAGACUCCUACGGGAGGCAGCAGUGGGGAAUAUUGCACAAUGGACGAAAGUCUGAUGCAGCAACGCCGCGUGGAGGAUGACACAUUUCGGUGCGUAAACUCCUUUUAUAUGAGAAGAUAAUGACGGUAUUAUAUGAAUAAGCACCGGCUAACUCCGUG